AUUGAACGCUGGCGGCAGGCUUAACACAUGCAAGUCGAGCGGAGAUGAGGUGCUUGCACCUUAUCUUAGCGGCGGACGGGUGAGUAAUGCUUAGGAAUCUGCCUAUUAGUGGGGGACAACAUUCCGAAAGGAAUGCUAAUACCGCAUACGUCCUACGGGAGAAAGCAGGGGAUCUUCGGACCUUGCGCUAAUAGAUGAGCCUAAGUCGGAUUAGCUAGUUGGUGGGGUAAAGGCCUACCAAGGCGACGAUCUGUAGCGGGUCUGAGAGGAUGAUCCGCCACGCUGGGACUGAGACACGGCCCAGGCUCCUACGGGAGGUAGCAGUGGGGAAUAUUGGACAAUGGGGGGAACCCUGAUCCAGCCAUGCCGCGUGUGUGAAGAAGGCCUUAUGGUUGUAAAGCACUUUAAGCGAGGAGGAGGCUACUGAGACUAAUACUCUUGGAUAGUGGACGUUACUCGCAGAAUAAGCACCGGCUAACUCUGUGCCAGCCGCCGCAGUAACAC
rnacentral:rRNA from 1 species